AAUAGUAACAAAAAUCAGGCUUUGGAUUUUGUCAAGGAGAAAUCUUCUUUCGAGGUCUCUGACAAUUAUUUGAAGCAAGCCUUAGGGAAAAGAUGGAGAGACCACAAGAGCUCAUUAAA